rnacentral:rRNA from 1 species
GAUGAACGCUGGCGGCGUGCCUAAUACAUGCAAGUCGAGCGAACAGACGAGGAGCUUGCUCCUCUGACGUUAGCGGCGGACGGGUGAGUAACACGUGGAUAACCGACCUAUAAGACUGGGAUAACUUCGGGAAACCGGAGCUAAUACCGUAUAAUAUAUUGAACCGCAUGGUUCAUUAGUGAAAGACGGUUUUGCGGUCACUUAUAGAUGGAUCCGCGCCGCAUUAGCUAGUUGGUAAGGUAACGGCUUACCAAGGCGACGAUGCGUAGCCGACCUGAGAGGGUGAUCGGCCACACUGGAACUGAGACACGGUCCAGACUCCUACGGGAGGCAGCAGUAGGGAAUCUUCCGCAAUGGGCGAAAGCCUGACGGGGCAACGCCGCGUGAGUGAUGAAGGUCUUCGGAUCGUAAAACUCUGUUAUUAGGGAAGAACAAAUGUGUAAGUAAAUAUGCACGUCUUGACGGUACCUAAUCAGAAAGCCACGGCUAACUACGUG